ensembl:lncRNA
AGGCAACCUUCUUGGUAGAUUGUGGGGGGUUUGCCAGAGUCUGGUGAUAGAGACAGGGGUCCCAAAGGGCAAAGUGAUAUCUACAGAACAAACCCAAGGAGAGGGCUUGUGUGCAAGGCCAGGGGCCAACGAGAGCAUGCCCUGCCAGGACAAGUCAUUCCACAGAGAUGCCGUUCCCCUUGGCACCAUGUCCUGUAUUUGCUCAGCAGCCCACAUCCUGCUCUGCCCCCAACCUUGGGGCUGAUUUCCCACAAGGUAAUUCAAAUUCUCCAACAUUAAAAUCAAGCCAGUAUUCAGGGAGCACUUGUGAGUCUUCGAGGUUCACCUAGAAGGAAGCUGGAAAUUGUAUCACUAAUGGCAGUGCUUUUGCUGUUGGGGACUAGCCAGAUGGUUCAUAAGACAACCAUUCAAACACACCUAAGCUGUUCCCACAGAUUAGCCAUCAAUUGUUAGCAAGAUCUCUCACUUCCUUUAUAUUGAUUUAUGGCAGCAAUGGAAAUAUACCACCUCACCCAGAGAACACGCCUCCUUCCAGCUAGGAAACUAUAAAUGUCAAGGUGUUUUUACUCAGAUUGAGAAGAACCCAGCAAAAUGGGGAUCUCCACAGACAUCCUUGAAAUUUGUCUUUUGUUGGGUCAAGUUCUAUCUACAGUAACAGUGGGAAACACCAUGGGAACCACUUCCAGGGAGACACAGACGCCAACUGGUAACUAAACUCUGGGACUGGGAGGUUGUGGGACCCAAGGCCACCCCCAAGGACUCAGGAGGGGCUGCUGCAGAGACGCUCUGUAGACCACACAUUGACCACCCGAG